AUGAAACUCGUAAGUUGGAAUUGUCGGGGACUCGGGAACGGCCCGGCAGUUCAAUCUCUUCUCAAACUGGGAAGAAUGGAGGAACCCGAUAUCUUAUUUCUAUGUGAGACUAGGCUGAGGGAGAAGGAGUUGGGAAGAUUUCGGUGGUUGUUGGGGCUCGCCAACAUGGUUGCUUGGAAGGAUGAAGGGAGUGGGAGAGGGGUGGCACUUUUCUGGAGGCAGGGAGUUGACGUCACUCUC
rnacentral:rRNA from 1 species